UGCCAGCAGCCGCGGUAAUACGAAGGGGGCUAGCGUUGUUCGGAAUCACUGGGCGUAAAGCGCACGUAGGCGGACUGAUCAGUUGGGGGUGAAAUCCCAGGGCUCAACCCUGGAACUGCCUUCAAUACUGUCAGUCUUGAGUUCGAGAGAGGUGAGUGGAAUUCCGAGUGUAGAGGUGAAAUUCGUAGAUAUUCGGAGGAACACCAGUGGCGAAGGCGGCUCACUGGCUCGAUACUGACGCUGAGGUGCGAAAGCGUGGGGAGCAAACGGGAUUAGAUA
rnacentral:rRNA from 1 species